GGUUUCUGGGAUAUAUAUAUAUAUAUAUAUAUAUAUAUAUAUAUAUAUAUAUAUAUAUAUAUAUAUAUAUUAUAUAUAUAUAUAUAUAUAUAUAUAUAUAUAUAGCCUACCACACACACACACACACACACAUCUCCCCCUAUUUUACAAUUGAGCCCCUGCCCCUGAUGAACUCUCUGCACGUCCCUGUUUGAAAUACACUAAAAGUGCAUACUCAGUACAGUUAAGCACAAUUAUUUAUCACAAACGAUUAAAUCUGAUGUUAUACAGUUAAUGACAGAAAGAAAGUACAUUAAUGAAGACACAAAACACUCACCUGUGUGCCCGACUUCUGUUGUUGACUUCGGAUUCUGGUUGCCAAGCAGCCAGGCGCUUCUGAGCACGAAGGCACCGGAAACGACGAAAUCCUGCAGCCAUUUCGCAAAGAUUUCCGUACAGAGCAUCAGCUCAGAGAGAAAUAGCGCAGAAUUAUGGCAGGGACGACGAUUUCACUAUUCACAGAUGUGGACUGGGCUGUAGAGCAUCACUCCAUUACCACUGUAUGUACUAUACCAACAACAAUUCUUAGGUAGAGGUGAUUUUAAAAACAUAUUUUCACGGAUAUGUGUAAACGUGAAUCAUUUUGUAAAACAUUGUCGUGUAUACGUGAAAUCAGACUAACAGCAUAUGCAAAGAUGGAGUUUGAGACGGUCCGCACAUGUAAAUGAUAACUGUUUGUGUGGAGCAGCAUUUACUGUGAACGGAGCUGCUCUGAGAGCCACAUAAUUUGCGCGCAAAUAAAUGAAGCACAGAUUAAAGGAUUAGUUCCUGAUAAUGUACUCAUGUCAUCCAAGAUGUUCCUGUCUUUCUUUCUUCAGUCGCAAAGAAAUGAAGGUUUUUGAGGAAAACAUUCCAGGAUUUUUCUCCAUAUGAUGGACUUCAGUGGGAACCAACGAGUUGCAAGUCCAAAUUUGCAGUUUCAGCGCAGCUUCAAAGGGCUCUACACAAUCCCAGCCGAGGAAUAAGGGUCUUAUCUAGUGAAACGAUUGGUCAUGUUCUUUUAAACCACAAAUGCUUGUCUUGCACUAGCUAGGCAGGAGUACUGACCCAGUGUUUACAAAGUGAACGAGCAAAGAAAGUCAAACGUUCUUUAUAAAAAAAAAAAGGUAAACAAUGAAGUCGGACAAUUUUGAAGUUGGAAGAAAAAUGAGAUGGAGUACACAGAGUACACAGACAAAGAGCACUAUGCUGUAUAAUGAUUUUUAAAUGGUUGUAAUAUUUCAUGCAGCCUAAGAAGACGGUCUAAUAAUGCUUUUCAUGGAUUCUCGUCUGUGGAAUGCGCCACUCGAAUUACUCAAAUUUAAUCGAGGAAUCAUGGCAGUCCUAAAAUUUACACUGUUGAAAAUGGUAUAAAACAAAAAAUCUAAUGAAAACACGAAAAAAAAAAAGUGUGCUUAUUUCUAUUGAUUUUGCACUUGUAGUGUACUUCAAAUCUUAAAAAUAUAUUUUUAAAGAACUGUAAUUACAGAUAGUUUAGCAUGAAAUAAAAGGCCUCAAAUGUGUACCUAAAGAGAGUUUAAAUUCAUAAGUGUUUCUUAACAUUUUUAAGAACACUUUUAAAGUAAUAAUCUCAAAUUGUCUCAAUUUGAAUAAUCUCAAAUGUCUCAAAGAAUUAUGAAUUUCCAUGUAAACAUGUAUUUAAGUCCUACUUAAAUGGGCCAAGAAAGCACUCUUAAGUUAACUACUUAAGUAAUUGUAUUUUGAAUAAAUUUUAACUAGAACACAACCAAUAUUUUCUCUAGGUCCAUACAUCAGUGAGCAGAGCAGUUGAGUUUUUACAACUUACGACAGGAGUAGAGUUUAUACCUCCAGAAACAAUACUGCAUGCAUAUUUGCAGUUUGAAGCCCUCACAGAUCAUGAAUAUAAGUAUGCAUGCCCCACCUGUGGUGAUUAUCCUCCGGUGGUGAUUAUGGGUGUUCACAAACAGACUGCUUCUCCAUUAUCAGGUAUAAAAAUUGUAAUGCUGUUAAAUGGCUAGUUUAUUUCUUUAAUAUUUAUUGACAUGUUGUUCUUGUCAUAGUUAAAUACUCAAGCAGAGUUUGAGAAAGUCCACACUUCAAAGUCUGUAUCAGAGAUUUUAGAAAUGACCGUUACAGAGGAAAGACUCAGAGAAGAACUUUUCAAACAGAAGGUUUGCUUUAUUAGUACAACAACACUUUUGUGUUAUAUUAUUGUUUUUGAUAUUUUGAUAGGAUGACGUUAUUAGAAGUUUAUGCAAUGAAUGUGGUGUGGUAUCCACUGGAUCUUGCAGUGAUCGCCUUCUUAGAUUGUCCAAUGAAAUGAGAUCCAGGCAAACAUAUGACAAAAUCUAUUCAAAAAUCUAGAGUGCCACUGGUGAACUUCAUUUUUACUCUACUGUUUUAACUCUAUUCCUGUAAAUGUGUAGUAUUGUGGAAUUAAUGCCAAUAUGUAAAUUACUGCUUCUAACAUAAAAUAAAUAAAUAAAUGUAUAUCUUCCAAAUCAAAGUCAUGUGGUGUGAACAACAUGCACAGAAAUGUCGUUGACCUUUUAAUGACAAGGCAAAGGUAGUUAAAAAUGUUGUUUCCCCAUAAAAUAUUUAUGAAUUUGUAAUUCACUUUUGUAAAAACACUUUUUACCUUGUAUACUCAAGCAAACGUUUGGGGUCAGUAAGAUUUUUUUGUUUUUGAGUCUCUUAUUCUCACUAAGGCUGCAUCAUAAAUGCAAUAAAAACACUAAUAUUGUGAAAUAUUACAUUUGAAAAUAUCUGUUUUCUGUUUUAAUUUAAUAUUCCUGUGAUAGCAAAGCUGUAUUAGUUCUCAAGAAACAUUUAAAAACAGUUGUUGCUUUAUAUUUUUUCUUUUUUUUUCUAGGAUUCUUACGUACUGUGUGACCAUUUUCAUGAAGGCAGCACAGAAGAUGAAGAUGUUCUGAGGAAGCUGGCCGAUAAAGUCAAUAGUGAGAUUACAGAGCAACUCUUUGCUCAAAUGAAGAAAAACAACUUCUUUUUGAACAUGUCUUUGCCAUCAACACAUCUGUUUCAAAUGAGGAACAUCAUUCACCACUAUAAUGAAAACAAGGCCAAAAAACUGAGCACCAGAUCAAACAAGAGUUUUGGAUCCAACUUGCUGACUGAAACUGUGUUGGAUAAAUUUUAGAUUAUGUUAUAAUACGCGACAUUUGAAAUGUAGUGGAAAGACAUGGGUAACAUUACAUUAUAAAUAAAUAAAAAUGGGCUUGUAACUGUAGAUUUGUUUGUUGUAAUAGAAAUCCUUAACUAGAAGACACAAUCCUGAGCUGCAGAGGUAAGUGUUUUUAUUUGUAAGGCCUUUAUACAACCUGAGACGGUGUUAUAAUGAUUAUCCUAAUAUUGUGUUCAAACAUAUGUGUGUGUAUAUAUAUAUAUAUAUAUAUAUAUAUAUAUAUAUACUUUGUUUUUUUUUUUUUUUUUUCUAUUUAAAUUAAUUUCUGUUUCAAUUAAAUAUUCAGCUAUAACUGCCUCAUGGUGAUUUUUUUUGGUCUACAUCCCUGAAGAUAUUCCUACAGGAGUGUUAAAAUAGUUGAAAUAUGCUGCUUGGAUAUUUUAUUUUUAGUUUUAUUUUAUUAGGAUUUGUUAUUGAAUGUUUAUUUUGUAUUCUAUAUAAACUUGCAUGACUACAAAUACAAUUUGUCAUAAUUACUCUUUUUAACAUCAUAAAAAAAAAGAAUGGAAUUAUACUGUAUUAUUAUUUUAAACUAAUAAAAAAAAAUUACUUUAAAAAAAAAAAAAAGUAGAUUAUUUGUUUAGUACUAUUUGAUUAUGUGUUUUAUGUGCACACAUGUAGAGUUGAUAAUUUAUAGAUGUAGGCUAAAAUGAAUUAUGCUCCAGAAGGUUAGGUGGCGCGAUUGUAGUAGUCUGUGGUUGGCUCCGCCCAGAGGCCGCUGCAUCAGUGGCUCCGCCCGUCAGGUUGAUGCUGUAGUGCUGGAAACUAAAGC
rnacentral:lncRNA from 1 species